CCUGCCGCCUGCCGCCGAGGCCAGCUUCUCGAUUUCUGAAACCAGCUCCUCGUUCUGAUCCUUCCACCACCGGUACUUGGACGCAGUCAGCGUGCUCUGCAGGGCCCGCAGCGUGUGCACCUUCUCGUUGAUGACCGGGUUCUUGUUGCGCCGGAUGAAUGACUUCCUGAAGUGGUCCUGCGUGAACGGCUGCUCAUGGCCAAUCAGAGAAACGCCUCCUUCCUUCAGGAGAAAGAGAAUCCAUUAAGGCCAACAGCAGGGGGCAGUGUGCGUCUGCACCCAAAACAAUAUGAUCAAAUGCUGCUGUGAGUGAAAAAAAAUAAGCUAAUAGAGUGGAUGCAUGAAAUAUAUUUUAUUUUUCUGCUUAUUGACAUUACCCAAUCAAUAAACACAAACAA